UACAGAGGGGGCAAGCGUUGUUCGGAAUUACUGGGCGUAAAGGGCGCGUAGGCGGCCGCCUAAGUCAGACGUGAAAUCCCUCGGCUCAACCGGGGAACUGCGUCUGAUACUGGGUGGCUUGAAUCCGGGAGAGGGAUGCGGAAUUCCAGGUGUAGCGGUGAAAUGCGUAGAUAUCUGGAGGAAUACCGGUGGCGAAGGCGGCAUCCUGGACCGACAUUGACGCUGAGGAGCGAAAGCUAGGGGAGCAAACGGG
rnacentral:rRNA from 1 species